UACGUAGGGUGCGAGCGUUACUCGGAAUUACUGGGCGUAAAGGGAGCGUAGGCGGCAUGGUAAGUCAGAUGUGAAAUCCCGGGGCUCAACCCCGGAACUGCAUCCGAUACUGCCUUGCUUGAGGGUUGGAGAGGUGACUGGAAUUCUCGGUGUAGCAGUGAAAUGCGUGGAUAUCGAGAGGAACACUCGUGGCGAAGGCGAGUCACUGGACAACAUCUGACGCUGAGGCUCGAAGGCUAGGGGAGCAAAAGGG
rnacentral:rRNA from 1 species